rnacentral:misc_RNA from 1 species
AACGCACCUUGCGCUCCUUGGUAUUCCGAGGAGCAUGCCUGUUUGAGUGUCAUGAAAUUCUCAACCUACAAAUCUUUGCGGGUUUGUAGGCUUGGACUUGGAGGUUUUUGUUGGCUUCUCGCAAGUCGGCUCCUCUUAAAUGCAUUAGCCUGUUUCCUUGCGGAUCGGCUCUCGGUGUGAUAAUUAUCUGCGCCGCGACCGUGAAGCGUUUGGCUGGCUUCUAAUCGUCUCGCUCAAGAGACAGCUUCUUAUGACCUCUGACCUCAAAUCAGGUAGGACUACCCGCUGAACUUAA